AUUCAUUUUACAAUUUCUCAGAUUUUUCAUUCAUUCGUCGAAUAAACGUCGACGUUGUCGGUUCGUGCAGACGGUGGCAUUUUUGCGUAUCUUUGUUAAUAAGAGCAAAAAAGAAUUCUAUCUGCUAAAUACUUAAGCGAGCUCAAGCAAUUUUUAGCGACAGCAAUAGAAGCAACAACAACGUACGGUUGCGAUAUCAUUAUUAAAAUAUUCGAUGCUAAUUAGAAAAAAUAAAUCAAAUCAAAAAAAAAAAAAUUAAUUUGUGUGGUGUUAGCAAAGCGUUAAUUGCAAUUUGGCAAUUACUAAGUAAUUGUGGAAGCGAAACUAAAACAAAAAGAAUAAAUAAAUAAAUAAAAUACACAAAUUCAUAUUAACAAAUUAGUGCUUUUGGAGCGUGAAAUAUUCGACGUUAAGCCGGUUUUCUUGUAGUGGGAUAGAGAUUUGUUAUUUGUUUCGUGAUUUGACGCCGCGAAAGUGCGUUUUCAAUCAACAAUUUUAUUUGAAAGAAAAAUACAAGGCAAAAAUUUUGUAUUGUAACAAAGCGCAGACAUACAGCAAUCGAAGUUAAUUAACAUCGAAUUGUGGCAGCCAGCAACAGCAGAAGCAGCGCCAGCAAAUCAACAACAAUAAUAACAAAAAAAAAAAACACAGUGGCAGAAGCGGCCAGCAGCAGCGACGGUAGCACAAAAGCGAAAGAGCGCAAAUUAAAAGCAAAUAACGAAUAAUUGAGAAAUCACAUUUGUGACUACGCGUUAAUUAAAUAACAACAACAGCUACAACAACAGUACGAAUUGAAUGCUUGUACAAGCAAAAUCAAACAAUCAGUGUAAAGAAAAUACAUAAAAUCCGCAAACAAGGAAAAAAUAUUCCAUGUAAAAAAUUAACACAUCAACAAUAGUGAAGAAGUGCUAAUACGAGUGAAAAAAUAAUUAUAUGUACAUAACAUAACGAGCUGGAUAGAGUGCGCAAGAAUUGCUGAAAAGUGUAUGCAACGAAAAUUGUUCGGAUAGAAGCAUUGCAAUUAAAAGUGUUUCUACACCAAAAAAAAAGGCGAUACAGUCAACAAAAAAUAAGUGAAACAACUACUAAAGUGUCUACAUUAAAUUUCAUAGUGUUAAAAUAACAAUUUCAUUAUAAACAGCUAUAAAAAGCGGCAGUAAUCAAAAAACCCAUAAUUUACUUAGUAAUCAACACAAAUUUUCUACGGCAAUAAAUAGUUUUGAAAAUACGCGUGGAAAAAAAAAAACAAAAAAAAAAACAUAUUCGUACAUACGUAAAUAAAUUGAUGAAUAUAAGAAAACAGCAGCAGAUCGGCAUUUAAAAUUAUUAUAGUGGAAGAAUCGCAUUGCUGAAGAAUAAGAAAAAAGUCAUCGACUU